rnacentral:rRNA from 1 species
CAGCACCUCAAGUGGUGAUCAUUAUUAUUGGGCCUAAAGCAUCCGUAGCCGGCGCUGUAAGUUUUCGGUUAAAUCUGUACGCUCAACGUACAGGCUGCCGGGAAUACUGCAGCGCUAGGGAGUGGGAGAGGUAGACGGUACUCGGUAGGAAGGGGUAAAAUCCUUUGAUCUAUUGAUGACCACCUGUGGCGAAGGCGGUCUACCAGAACACGUCCGACGGUGAGGGAUGAAAGCUGGGGGAGCAAACCGGAUUAGAUACCCGAGUAGUCC